AUUGAACGCUAGCGGGAUGCUUUACACAUGCAAGUCGAACGAUUGGCGGACGUGUGAGUAAUGUAUCUAAACUUGCCCAUUGGCGGGGGAUAACUACUCGAACGAGUGGCUAAUACCCCAUACUAUUGGAGCGGCCGAUAGCGGAUUAGCUAGUGGGUGGGGUAAAGGCUCACCAAGGCAACGAUCCGUAGCUGGUUUGAGAGGACGACCAGCCACACUGGGACGGAGACACGGCCCAGACUCCUACGGGAGGAAGCAGUGGGGAAUUUUGGACAAUGGGGGAAACCCUGAUCCAGCCAUCCCGCGGGUAUGAGAAGGCCUUCGGGUUGUAAAGUACUUUUGGCAGAGAAGCGGUAUCUGCAGAAUAAGCAACGGCUAACUACGUGCCAGCAGCCGCGGUAAUUC
rnacentral:rRNA from 1 species